UACGUAGGGGGCAAGCGUUGUCCGGAUUUAUUGGGCGUAAAGAGCGUGUAGGCGGUUUGGUAGGUCCGCUGUGAAAACUCGAGGCUCAACCUCGAGACGCCGGUGGAAACCAUCAGACUAGAGUCCGGAAGAGGAGAGUGGAAUUCCUGGUGUAGCGGUGAAAUGCGUAGAUAUCGUAAGGAAGACCAGUGGCGAAGGCGGGUCUCUGGACAGUUCCUGACGCUGAGGCACGAAGGCCAGGGGAGCAAACGGG
rnacentral:rRNA from 1 species